rnacentral:lncRNA from 1 species
UUGGGGUGUGCGCAAAAAUCUGAAUUUCAGAUUUUUGAUCCUAAGAGUUUGGGAAGAGAGAAUAAAAUAGAGAAAAAUUAUUUUCUUCUCAAUCUUUUUUCACUUUUUAUCUCCUCUAGAAGUUCAUCUUCAACCUCUAAAAAGAUUUCAGAGAUUUGAAGAAAGGAUCCAGUUUAGCCAAGAAGAAGGACUUCGCGCGAGCUAGCACUCCCAAAAAGAUCGAUCAGAUUGAGGCUUCUAGUGAAUUUUUCAUAGUGGCC